UGGGAGAGCUAAGUUGUGACCCGCUUGGAGGAAUGAUAAAUUAUCCAGUACCUCUGCAAACACAGGGAGAAACAGGCAGACAAAAAAAAACGGCAAACAGUUCAUGGAUUGGAUUUAUUCGUUUUAUGCCAACUGCAAUACUACCUAGUCGGUUUAAUAUCCAAGCAGUAAAAACAGCACCAUAUGAUGGAGUAACUCCGUUAAGGAACUCCAAAGUUAAUGUCUCAAUGUAGUGGAAAUCCCACCACGACAAUCACACGCUGCAAGGGAAGGAACAAAUAAAAACCCUGCAGGAUAAUUAGCAGAGAACCCGCGCAGCAUUACAUCAAUUCACAACACACACAUAUAACAAGCCGGUCUGCAAGUUGUGUAAGUAUUCGUGGCUGCGCGCGCAAGAAUUGGUCACCCAACAUACAGCCUUCUACGGUUCACAGACCGUCUCGAGCGGCCAUAUUGGUCACCAGGCUACUCAUUAUGGCGCACACCUGUCACCAUCGUUCCUCGCACCUGCGUGUCGUCAGACUCACCUGGACUUCCCUGAUUACCUUCCCUAUAUAUUUCACUCCCUUUGGUUUCUUCCCCAGGCAUCAUUGUUUCAGUUUCAUGUCUGUGUGCUGU